rnacentral:rRNA from 1 species
GACGAAGGAUGCAAGCGUUAUCCGGAUUCAUUGGGUUUAAAGGGAGCGUAGGCGGCCUUAUAAGUCAGUGGUGAAAUCUCCUCGCUUAACGAGGAAAUUGCCAUUGAUACUGUAGGGCUUGAGUACAGUUGCCGUUGGCGGAAUAUGACAUGUAGUGGUGAAAUACAUAGAGAUGUCAUAGAACACCGAUUGCGAAGGCAGCUAACGAAGCUGUAACUGACGCUGAGGCUCGAAAGUGCGGGGAUCAAACAGGAUUAGAUACCCUGGUAGUCCGCACUGUAAACGAUGAUUACUCGCUGCUGGAUGGCAACAUUCAGUGGCUUAGCGAAAGCGAUAAGUAAUCCACCUGGGGAGUACGCCGGCAACGGUGAA